AUUACUGCUAAAAAACCAUGCAUGUUGUGCAGUGGGCACUACACUAUAAGGCAGCAACAGCAACAACAAGAAAAGAAAAUGACCCCUUGAAGAUUUCUUUAUCUUUCUCUGCCGUCUCGCUUCUAUAUAUGUUGGGCCUCUGAUCAAGCUAACCGAGUCUGUAAUGUUGUACCUGACUGUAGAAAAGGGUAACUACACCACCAAUGGUUCCGACCAGGAACACCUGAAUCACCUCCUCACUUCCAUCUACACUAACCCCGAAAUAGAUUCCUUGUUCUACAAUGUCUCUUAUGGACAAGACCCUGACA
rnacentral:misc_RNA from 1 species